GCCUGCUGGCAUCCAUUGCACCUCGCAACAUUGUUUACAAGAUCCGUAAUAAACAGUUCACAACCUAAACCUCUGCAGUGGAAACGAAGAAAAGGAAACAGAAGAAACUUCUUUCGAUACAUCCGUUAACUUUUCUAUACGAAGAUUACCAUUGCGGGAAAUCAAUAAGCAUGAAUGCACCUUACGCUCUCGGGCAUAUGCAUACUGUUUAUUUACGGAUGAAAUUCAUCUGGCAUACAAAAGACAAUGUAUAAAUAAACAAGUGGGUAAAAAAAGGGUAAAAGAAGAAAAAACAACAUUCACGUAUGUAGGACAGAGGCACAAUCGCGGCUGGUAUAGAUACGAAAUACCAACGGGCCGUUCGACAACGACGCAAAUAUCCAAAAGCUCGGCACUCCGUAACAACGUACGCAUCAUAAAAGUGGGACAAACCGUGUUCGAUAGUUAGAUAGAAAAGUGCAGCGACCUGAUUCGCUAUCGCAUGCUC